AUUGAACGCUGGCGGCAUGCUUUACACAUGCAAGUCGAACGGCAGCGCGGGCUUCGGCCUGGCGGCGAGUGGCGAACGGGUGAGUAAUGCAUCGGAACGUGCCCAGUAUUGGGGGAUAGCCCGGCGAAAGCCGGAUUAAUACCGCAUACGAUCUGAGGGUGAAAGCGGGGGACCGAAAGGCCUCGCGCUAUUGGAGCGGCCGAUGUCGGAUUAGCUAGUUGGUGGGGUAAAGGCUUACCAAGGCGACGAUCCGUAGCUGGUCUGAGAGGACGACCGGCCACACUGGGACUGAGACACGGCCCAGACUCCUACGGGAGGCCGCAGUGGGGAAUUUUGGACAAUGGGGGCAACCCUGAUCCAGCCAUGCCGCGUGCGGGAAGAAGGCCUUCGGGUUGUAAACCGCUUUUGUUCGGGAAGAAAUCCUCUGGGCUAAUACACCGGGGGGAUGACGGUACCGGAAGAAUAAGCACCGGCUAACUACGUG
rnacentral:rRNA from 1 species